rnacentral:rRNA from 1 species
GACGAACGCUGGCGGCGUGCCUAAUACAUGCAAGUCGAGCGGACCAAAGGGAGCUUGCUCCUGGAGGUUAGCGGCGAACGGGUGAGUAACACGUGGACAACCUGCCUGUAAGACUGGGAUAACAUCGAGAAAUCGGUGCUAAUACCGGAUAAUAAAAAGAACUGCAUGGUUCUUUUUUGAAAGAUGGUUUCGGCUAUCACUUACAGAUGGGCCCGCGGCGCAUUAGCUAGUUGGUGAGGUAACGGCUCACCAAGGCGACGAUGCGUAGCCGACCUGAGAGGGUGAUCGGCCACACUGGGACUGAGACACGGCCCAGACUCCUACGGGAGGCAGCAGUAGGGAAUCUUCCGCAAUGGACGAAAGUCUGACGGAGCAACGCCGCGUGAGUGAUGAAGGUUUUCGGAUCGUAAAACUCUGUUGUUAGGGAAGAACAAGUGCCGUUCGAAAGGGACGGCACCUUGACGGUACCUAACGAGAAAGCCACGGCUAACUACGUGCCAGCAGCCGCGGUAAA